rnacentral:lncRNA from 1 species
AAAGUUUGUAUUUUCGCACUUCAACUUCGGAAAUUUUUGCAUGACAUUCGUUGCUAUAAUGUCUAUACUUAUGACAAUUAUAACACUGGACGUUCUUUUUGUCACCAAUUUGAUGAUUAAAACCAUUUCUACAUCUUUCUUGUCCUCUAUUUUGUCCUCUACCUCGACCUCUAUAUUGUCCUCUUCCUCUCUGAUAAAAUUGUUGUUGAAUUUCAUGUCCACCAUUGAUGUUAAGUCUUCCUCCUCUUCCUCUAUUAUUAAAAGCUCAUCCUCUUUGAAAUUGGCUCCUUCCUCGACUUGGUCUUGAAUUUCCUUCAUUUCCUUUAUUUUCUUAAAGAGAAAGCUUUGAUUGCAAUGAUUAAUCAAGAGAUUUUGAUGAAGUUUUUUUAUUGAUCUGUUGUUCAUGGAUCUCUAGAGAAACCAAUAGUUCAUCGAUAGUCAUAGUACUGAGGUCUUUGGAUUCCUCAAUUGCUAUGACUACAUUAUCAAACUUCGAAUUUAAAGAACGAAAGAUUUUUUCUAUUACCUGUAAAUCUUGGAUCUUUUCUCCAUUGCACUUGAUAUUAUUCACUAUAGUGAGGACUCGAGUAAAAUACUCCGAGAUUGACUCACUAUCAAGCAUCUCCAAUGUUUCAAAUUCGCUUUUCAACAUUUGUAGGAGAAUUCUCAUUUUUUUCUGAUACCUCGAAAUGAAUUUUGAAGUGCAUCCCAUGCUUCUCUUGCAUUUCUAAUAGAAGCAAUCUUCUCAAAAUUUCCUUC